UGAUAUUCACAUUACUGCACGUCAUCUACAAAGACGCUUAGCGAGGCUUCAGCUUUAUCCACCGGACAGUCAAAGUGAGCCUGAUGUCGCCGUGAGCCACAUCGCUGAGCAGCUACGAGGCCUGAUCUGUAUUCUCCUGCUCCUCUGUCAUCGCUGCACUCAAUGAUUAGAGGGAGCUGUUGUCAUGAGAUGGCACCAUGAGACGCUCCCUCCUUCCUAACCCUGCCUGUUUUACCGGUGCAACUCUGCAGCCUGUGCUCUCACCUUCCCCCUCCUCAUCUUCCUCAUCUCCUCCAUGGUGGUGCAGUAGUUGACGGCGGCGUACUCGAUCACAGACAGGAAGACAAACAGGAAGCUGGUCCACAGACAUGACCCAGCCUCUGACAUUCGGUGGCAGCUUGUCUCUAAGCCGCCACCCCGAGGGAGUUGCACCGACUUUUGGGGGAGACAAGUCAACUGGAGCCAACGCGCCGGCAGAAAUAUAAUCAAGGAGACGCGUGCAGGGACGGCCCUCCUGUCGAUCCAGAAGGAGACCCAGGACAGAACGACCAUCAGCAUGGUGGGGAAGUAAGUCUGCAGCAUGAAGAAGAAGAUGUGCCUCCGCAGGAUGAAGUUGAUGUACAGUCUAUUGUACCAGCCUGACACACACACACACACACACAGAGAGAGAGGUUAACUGUAAAGCCACAGCCAUGGGCGUCCAGUUUAAAUGUCCUGAUCGUCCACCUGCUCGUCAUUAUCAGUCUCUUGAAAUAGCAUCACUUUAAUAAUGUCUGUGUAAAUGCUGGCUAUUGUAAAUAAAAAAGUGAAAAUCACUCUUCAUUAGAAAGCAAAACAUCAGCACAUUCAGGUGUGCACACACACACACACACACACACACCGUACUUUCACUGUUGUAGUUGUACAUGAUCUCCUGUUUCUUAAAGUCUAUAAUCUUUGCAUUUCAAGGACUCUAGAUGGAUUAACCAUAACUAACCCAGCUGAAUCAAACUAUUAUUUGAGUUAAAUUAAGUAUGUUUGUACGUAUUCUUACUAUUCAUAAUUAUCAUUAUUUGAGAUUCAUAAUGUCUGAUGUAAUAUAUGUUGUAGUAUUUGUUUUGUU